CAGUCGCCGCGGGAAUACGGAGGGUGCAAGCGUUAAUCGGAAUUACUGGGCGUAAAGUGUGCGUAGGCGGUUCGUUAAGUCUGUUGUGAAAGCCCCGGGCUCAACCUGGGAAUGGCAAUGGAUACUGGCGAGCUAGAGUGUGUCAGAGGAUGGUGGAAUUCCCGGUGUAGCGGUGAAAUGCGUAGAGAUCGGGAGGAACAUCAGUGGCGAAGGCGGCCAUCUGGGACAACACUGACGCUGAGGCACGAAAGCGUGGGGAGCAAACAGGAUUAGAUACCCCAGUAGUCCCUGUCUCUUAUAC
rnacentral:rRNA from 1 species